rnacentral:rRNA from 1 species
CUCCUACGGGAGGCAGCAGUGAGGAAUAUUGGUCAAUGAGCGAGAGCCUGAACCAGCCAAGUAGCGUGAAGGAUGACUGCCCUAUGGGUUGUAAACUUCUUUUAUAAAGGAAUAAAGUCGGGUAUGCAUACCCGUUUGCAUGUACUUUAUGAAUAAGGAUCGGCUAACUCCGUGCCAGCAGCCGCGGUAAUACGGAGGAUCCGAGCGUUAUCCGGAUUUAUUGGGUUUAAAGGGAGCGUAGAUGGAUGUUUAAGUCAGUUGUGAAAGUUUGCGGCUCAACCGUAAAAUUGCAGUUGAUACUGGAUAUCUUGAGUGCAGUUGAGGCAGGCGGAAUUCGUGGUGUAGCGGUGAAAUGCUUAGAUAUCACGAAGAACUCCGAUUGCGAAGGCAGCCUGCUAAGCUGCAACUGACAUUGAGGCUCGAAAGUGUGGGUAUCAAACAGGAUUAGAUACCCUGGUAGUCCACACGGUAAACGAUGAAUACUCGCUGUUUGCGAUAUACAGCAAGCGGCCAAGCGAAAGCGUUAAGUAUUCCACCUGGGGAGUACGCCGGCAACGGUGAAACUCAAAGGAAUUGACGGGGGCCCGCACAAGCGGAGGAACAUGUGGUUUAAUUCGAUGAUACGCGAGGAACCUUACCCGGGCUUGAACCAAGAGUGACGAGUGCAGAGAUGCGCUUAUUCUUCGGACACUUUUGGAGGUGCUGCAUGGUUGUCGUCAGCUCGUGCCGUGAGGUGUCGGCUUAAGUGCCAUAACGAGCGCAACCCUUUUCUACGUUUGCCAUCGGGUAAUGCCGGGAACUCCGUGGAUACUGCCGCCGCAAGGCGGAGGAAGGUGGGGAUGACGUCAAAUCAGCACGGCCCUUACGUCCGGGGCUACACACGUGUUACAAUGGUCGGAGCAGCAGGAAGCUACCUGGUGACAGGAUGCUGAUCCCGAAACCCGGCCUCAGUUCGGACUGGAGUCUGCAACCCGACUCCACGAAGCCGGAUUCGCUAGUAAUCGCGCAUCAGCCAUGGCGCGGUGAAUACGUUCCCGGGCCUUGUACACACCGC